rnacentral:rRNA from 1 species
UGCCAGCCGCCGCGGUAAUACGGAGGGUCCAAGCGUUAUCCGGAUUUAUUGGGUUUAAAGGGUGCGCAGGCGGAACUUUAAGUCAGUGGUGAAAUCUUGCCGCUUAACGGUAAAAUUGCCAUUGAAACUGAAGUUCUUGAAUGUAGUUGAGGUAGGCGGAAUGUGUUGUGUAGCGGUGAAAUGCAUAGAUAUGACACAGAACGCCAAUUGCGAAGGCAGCUUACUAAGCUACGAUUGACGCUGAGGCACGAAAGCGUGGGGAGCGAACAGGAUUAGAUA